UCCCCUUUCGUCCCCGUCGCUACCCUCCCCCCUUAUCUUAUCUAGAUACUCCUUUGCUACACAAGUGACACAUUUAAAUUUUCUCUUUCUUGCUUGCUUUCGCGGUGGUACCUUUCCCCACAGAAGAACGAAUUUUCAAGCUUGAUUUCUUGUUUUUCUUCAAUCUUUUUUUGUUUGUUAAAUUUGGGGUUGAUUUGGAGUUUGUCUUGUGGAAGGUGUCAAAGAACAUUAUACUGGCCGAUGGAGGAGGCAACAUAGGCCGGUAUGAUUUUCCUAAGCACCAGCGGCUUGAAGUUAAGUAUUUUUAGCUUUAAUUCCGACCAAUUCGAUUAUUCUGAUGAAAAGGAAGAGGACAAGUGAUAAAAUUUUUCAACUAGUUCUCUUUCUUAAUCAAAGUGUCAACCUAAUUUCUUCAGUGUUUAUUGCUGCCGGGAGGAAGAUGCAUUUGAAAUUACUAUGAAAAAUGACAUUCGAAUGUUAUGAAGAAGACGGAGAGAGUGUCAGGGAAGAUGACUAUUUUUUCCUUUUGUUUUAAUGCAAAUUGGAUGGCUUUGAUGAUCAAACUUCACUUAUUGGAAGGAUAAGAUAAUCUUCUUACUCACUAUGCUAAAAAUAUUUUAUGUUCUGGAUCAAUUGUUUGCUGCACUACAAGAACCUACUCCGAAGGAUAUGAUAAGUGAAGAUUUUGACUACUUAUUAGUACAUUUUAGCUUUUGUUUUAGUCUAAAAGCAUUUAAUCGUGUUCCCAAAAAUUGAUAAAAUUUGCUUAAUUGUAGAAAUAUUGAAAAGUAAACUCCCGAGAUGAAAUUCAACUCAAGAAGGAGUAAUCUAAACUCAAAAACACAAAAGGGCGCAGAAGUUCAGAAAUGUGGACCAUAGAAUAUUAUCUGCGGCCGCAGAUUGUGAAGGAAAGGCCAGCAGAAAAAGUUGCAAAGUGCAGUCCGUAUAGAAUUGUGCAGCCGCAUAAGAUGGGUCAGGAGCAAAGUUCAGAGAGUCUGUGCAUUUGAAGACCAUCAAAAGUGCGGACCACACAAUAAUUGUGCGGCCGCAGAAAGAGUGCAGUGCGACCGCAGUCCAGAAUUAUGCAACCGUAGAUUUCCAAUCCUCUCAAGCUGAAUAAAAGUGCAGACGGCGUAUGGAAUCGUGCAACUGCAAAAUAUCAUGAUCCGGUAUCUAUUAAGGGUCAUGAUGGCGCCGGAUACCACUGUUAAGCAAGGAAACACCAAAUAAAUGAUAAUUUCUCAUUUUAAAUAUUUCUGAAAUCAUUUCUUUUAUACAUUAAACAAUAAUAAUAAAUUUCACAGAAUAAAUAAUGGUACCUUUAACACAUUUACACUACCGAGUAAUCCCAUAGACAUUCCAGAACCUAGUGUCACAAUUGCAUGAGAAAAUUUC
rnacentral:lncRNA from 1 species